AGCUCCACAUGGCAGGCCGACAGCGCCACGUUUGGGGACUCGUGUCCGGGUCCGUCUGCGGAUGUCAACACAGACGUCUGACCUGGGUCCUGCACGCUCAGAGCCAGAGGGACCCCACACUGGUGGCUGUGGUCGAAGCAGGGGAUGGGCACCGUGCUGUGCACCGUCACCUCGUGCUCUUUACUGUUCUCCACUAUGUGCAGCGAUUCUGGAGAAAACUGGAGAGAAAGAAGUCAUUGGUCUAACUGGGAAGGUUUUCUCCAUUUGCUGCUGAUAUGACAAGCCUCUCUGCCUUUACUUUGUGAAAGAAAGAGGUCGGCAUGAUCCAGGGCUUACACACUCCUGGGGUCAAACCCUCCACAUGUGCUCCUC